CCUCAGUGAAUCGGGGCUUUCGACACGUCUCCUACCGCCGCGCCACGAGCCCCGCCGUCAAUCUAGUUGAGCGGCCGGCUGCCGGCUGCGACGCCGCCGCCUUCGGACGCCGCCUCUGUCCCUCAUUAGCGCCGCGGAUCGCCAGAUCUCGCGAACUCCAGCAAACCGGGUCGGCGAAGGGGAAGACGGGUCGAAGUCGGGCGGAUCCGGGUUGGCGUCCGGGUAGGGUUUCGGCCAGCUUGGGCCAUUCGCGCGUGGGCCGGGCCUUUUUUUUAGAAAAUAGAUCUAUUUGGGCCGGGUGGUUGUUGGGU
rnacentral:lncRNA from 1 species